GGGGCGGCGGAGGGGGAGAGUGUUGUACCAAUUAGGCCUAUGAAAUAGAUUUGCUGGGUUAGUAUUCCUUGUAUAUCUAAAUUAGUUAGUUAAAUAUAUGUUCUAACAGAGUCUUUUAACAACUUGGUGUUUUGAGUUAUGUUUAUUUCUUGUUCGAGGGAGCUUAUUUUCUGACUUGAUGUACAAGACUACUGGGCUUCAAAAUUUAAAGUAGUGAGUUACAAUCUAGGCAAAUAAUUGGCUUUAGAGCAAAGUAAAACGUUGUUUCACGUGCACAUGGCCUGUUGCUUAUGAACUUAUU
rnacentral:misc_RNA from 1 species